rnacentral:rRNA from 1 species
GCUUUGGGUCUUAUCAUGCUGAAUGCACUGGUUCUCGUCCGAUCACCGAAGUUAAGCCACGUCGAGCCUAGUGAGUAAUUACAUGGGUGAUAGGUUGGGAAGCCUAAGGUGCAGGGAGUA